rnacentral:misc_RNA from 1 species
AUGCCCGGCUGACAUCUAAA